GGGCCUGUAGCUUAGCCUGGUGGAGCGCCCGCCUUAUAAGCGGGAGGUCCCAAGUUCGAAUCUUGGCAGGCCCA
rnacentral:tRNA from 2 species